rnacentral:rRNA from 1 species
CCCAUCUCUGUCCACUUANGCGGUGGCCCUUACGGUUACCCACGACUUCGGGUGUUACAAACUCUCGUGGUGUGACGGGCGGUGUGUACAAGGCCCGGGAACGUAUUCACCGCGGCAUGCUGAUCCGCGAUUACUANCGAUUCCGGCUUCAUGCAGGCNAGUUGCAGCCUGCAAUCCGAACUGAGAAUGGUUUUAUGGGAUUGGCUAAACCUCGCGGUCUUGCAGCCCUUUGUACCAUCCAUUGUANCACGUGUGUANCCCAGGUCAUAAGGGGCAUGAUGAUUUGACGUCAUCCCCACCUUCCUCCGGUUUGUCACCGGCAGUCACCUUAGAGUGCCCAACUNAAUGCUGGCAACUAAAAUCAAGGGUUGCGCUCGUUGCGGGACUUAACCCAACAUCUCACGACACNAGCUGACNACACCAUGCACCACCUGUCACUCUNUCCCCGAAGGGGAAAGUCCUAUCUCUNGGAAUUUCAAAAGAAUUUCAAAACCGGGUUANGGUCCUCCCCUUUCCUCCAAAUUAAACCCNUCCCCCCCGCUUGUUUCGGGGCCCCCCUCCAAUCCUUUNAAUUUCCANCCCUUGCCGGCCGUACUCCCCCCGGGCGGAAAUGCCUUAAUUGCCUUU